rnacentral:lncRNA from 12 species
CUGGAUAAAUGCACAUUAGCAUAGGCAUGCAUUUUGAUUACAAGAUCCGGCGUUCAUAGACCUCUACAGUCUAGACCAAACAUGGCUUCUGUCAAGAAGACUUCUUCCAUUCUG